GAUGAACGAUGGCGGCGUGCUUAACACAUGCAAGUCGAGCGAGAUAAAUGUGAGUGGAGACUUCGGUCAAAGCAAUCAUUUUGAAAGCGGCGGACGGGUGAGUAACGCGUGAGCAAUCUGCCCCAUACAAAGGGAUACCCACUGGAAACGGUGAUUAAUACCUUAUAAGACCACGAAGUCGCCUGGCUUAGUGGCCAAAGAUUUAUCGGUAUGGGAUGAGCUCGCGUCUGAUUAGCUAGUUGGUGAGGUAAUGGCUCACCAAGGCGACGAUCAGUAGCCGACCUGAGAGGGUGAACGGCCACACUGGAACUGAGACACGGUCCAGACUCCUACGGGAGGCAGCAGUGGGGAAUAUUGCACAAUGGGCGCAAGCCUGAUGCAGCAACGCCGCGUGAAUGAUGAAGGCCUUCGGGUCGUAAAGUUCUAUCCUAAGGGAAGAAUACAGUGACGGUACCUUAGGAGGAAGCCCCGGCUAACUACGUGCCAGCAGCCGCAGUAA
rnacentral:rRNA from 1 species